rnacentral:rRNA from 1 species
GACGAACGCUGGCGGCGUGCUUAACACAUGCAAGUCGAACGGUAAGGCCCUUCGGGGUACACGAGUGGCGAACGGGUGAGUAAUGUAUAGAUAACCUGCCCUCUAGAAAGGAAUAACAGUUGGAAACGACUGCUAAUGCCCUAUAUGCCUUUAAUACAUAAGUAUGCAAGGGAAACGCUUUAGUGCUAGAGGAUGGGUCUGUAUGGUAUCAGUUAGUUGGUGAGGUAAUGGCUCACCAAGACAAUGACGCCUAACUGGUUUGAGAGGAUGAUCAGUCGCACUGGAACUGAGACACGGUCCAGACUCCUACGGGAGGCAGCAGUGGGGAAUAUUGCACAAUGGACGAAAGUCUGAUGCAGCAACGCCGCGUGGAGGAUGACACAUUUCGGUGCGUAAACUCCUUUUAUAUAGGAAGAUAAUGACGGUACUAUAUGAAUAAGCACCGGCUAACUCCGUGCCAGCCGCCGCCGUAA